rnacentral:rRNA from 1 species
UUAAGCGACUAAGCGUACACGGUGGAUGCCCUGGCAGUCAGAGGCGAUGAAGGGCGUGCUAAUCUGCGAUAAGCGCCGGUAAGGUGAUAUGAACCGUUAUAACCGGCGAUACCCGAAUGGGGAAACCCAGUGUGACUCGUCACACUAUCAUUAACUGAAUCCAUAGGUUAAUGAGGCGAACCGGGGGAACUGAAACAUCUAAGUACCCCGAGGAAAAGAAAUCAACCGAGAUUCCCCCAGUAGCGGCGAGCGAACGGGGAGGAGCCCAGAGCCUGAAUCAGCAUGUGUGUUAGUGGAAGCGUCUGGAAAGGCGCGCGAUACAGGGUGACAGCCCCGUACACAAAAGCGCAUGUGCUGUGAGCUCGAUGAGUAGGGCGGGACACGUGGUAUCCUGUCUGAAUAUGGGGGGACCAUCCUCCAAGGCUAAAUACUCCUGACUGACCGAUAGUGAACCAGUACCGUGAGGGAAAGGCGAAAAGAACCCCGGCGAGGGGAGUGAAAAAGAACCUGAAACCGUGUACGUACAAGCAGUGGGAGCACAGGUUUACCUGUGUGACUGCGUACCUUUUGUAUAAUGGGUCAGCGACUUAUAUUCUGUAGCAAGGUUAACCGUAUAGGGGAGCCGUAGGGAAACCGAGUCUUAACCGGGCGUUAAGUUGCAGGGUAUAGACCCGAAACCCGGUGAUCUAGCCAUGGGCAGGUUGAAGGUUGGGUAACACUAACUGGAGGACCGAACCGACUAAUGUUGAAAAAUUAGCGGAUGACCUGUGGCUGGGGGUGAAAGGCCAAUCAAACCGGGAGAUAGCUGGUUCUCCCCGAAAGCUAUUUAGGUAGCGCCUCGUGAAUUCAUCUCCGGGGGUAGAGCACUGUUUCGGCUAGGGGGCCAUCCCGGCUUACCAACCCGAUGCAAACUGCGAAUACCGGAGAAUGUUAUCACGGGAGACACACGGCGGGUGCUAACGUCCGUCGUGAAGAGGGAAACAACCCAGACCGCCAGCUAAGGUCCCAAAGUCAUGGUUAAGUGGGAAACGAUGUGGGAAGGCCCAGACAGCCAGGAUGUUGGCUUAGAAGCAGCCAUCAUUUAAAGAAAGCGUAAUAGCUCACUGGUCGAGUCGGCCUGCGCGGAAGAUGUAACGGGGCUAAACCAUGCACCGAAGCUGCGGCAGCGAACGUAUCACCCAAGACAACUUUACGGAGUUGACGAUUGACGGAGCGAAGCGACGUCAAAGCGUUCAUUAAAGUCGAGUUGGCUUAGGGAUACGUUCGUUGGGUAGGGGAGCGUUCUGUAAGCCUGUGAAGGUGUGUCGUGAGGCAUGCUGGAGGUAUCAGAAGUGCGAAUGCUGACAUAAGUAACGAUAAAGCGGGUGAAAAGCCCGCUCGCCGGAAGACCAAGGGUUCCUGUCCAACGUUAAUCGGGGCAGGGUGAGUCGACCCCUAAGGCGAGGCCGAAAGGCGUAGUCGAUGGGAAACGGGUUAAUAUUCCCGUACUUGGUGUUACUGCGAAGGGGGGACGGAGAAGGCUAUGUUGGCCGGGCGACGGUUGUCCCGGUUUAAGCGUGUAGGUGUGUGUUCCAGGUAAAUCCGGUUCACUUUAACACUGAGGCGUGACGACGAGGCACUACGGUGCUGAAGCAACAAAUGCCCUGCUUCCAGGAAAAGCCUCUAAGCAUCAGGUAACACGAAAUCGUACCCCAAACCGACACAGGUGGUCAGGUAGAGAAUACCAAGGCGCUUGAGAGAACUCGGGUGAAGGAACUAGGCAAAAUGGUGCCGUAACUUCGGGAGAAGGCACGCUGACACGUAGGUGAAGUGAUUUACUCAUGGAGCUGAAGUCAGUCGAAGAUACCAGCUGGCUGCAACUGUUUAUUAAAAACACAGCACUGUGCAAACACGAAAGUGGACGUAUACGGUGUGACGCCUGCCCGGUGCCGGAAGGUUAAUUGAUGGGGUCAGCGUAAGCGAAGCUCCUGAUCGAAGCCCCGGUAAACGGCGGCCGUAACUAUAACGGUCCUAAGGUAGCGAAAUUCCUUGUCGGGUAAGUUCCGACCUGCACGAAUGGCGUAAUGAUGGCCAGGCUGUCUCCACCCGAGACUCAGUGAAAUUGAACUCGCUGUGAAGAUGCAGUGUACCCGCGGCAAGACGGAAAGACCCCGUGAACCUUUACUAUAGCUUGACACUGAACAUUGAGCCUUGAUGUGUAGGAUAGGUGGGAGGCUUUGAAGUGUGGACGCCAGUCUGCAUGGAGCCGACCUUGAAAUACCACCCUUUAAUGUUUGAUGUUCUAACGUGGACCCGUAAUCCGGGUUGCGGACAGUGUCUGGUGGGUAGUUUGACUGGGGCGGUCUCCUCCUAAAGAGUAACGGAGGAGCACGAAGGUUGGCUAAUCCUGGUCGGACAUCAGGAGGUUAGUGCAAUGGCAUAAGCCAGCUUGACUGCGAGCGUGACGGCGCGAGCAGGUGCGAAAGCAGGUCAUAGUGAUCCGGUGGUUCUGAAUGGAAGGGCCAUCGCUCAACGGAUAAAAGGUACUCCGGGGAUAACAGGCUGAUACCGCCCAAGAGUUCAUAUCGACGGCGGUGUUUGGCACCUCGAUGUCGGCUCAUCACAUCCUGGGGCUGAAGUAGGUCCCAAGGGUAUGGCUGUUCGCCAUUUAAAGUGGUACGCGAGCUGGGUUUAGAACGUCGUGAGACAGUUCGGUCCCUAUCUGCCGUGGGCGCUGGAGAACUGAGGGGGGCUGCUCCUAGUACGAGAGGACCGGAGUGGACGCAUCACUGGUGUUCGGGUUGUCAUGCCAAUGGCACUGCCCGGUAGCUAAAUGCGGAAGAGAUAAGUGCUGAAAGCAUCUAAGCACGAAACUUGCCCCGAGAUGAGUUCUCCCUGAGACUUAGAGUCUCCUGAAGGAACGUUGAAGACGACGACGUUGAUAGGCCGGGUGUGUAAGCGCAGCGAUGCGUUGAGCUAACCGGUACUAAUGAACCGUGAGGCUUAACCUU